ensembl:lncRNA
CUGCUUCAUUCUGCAUUCCAAGGCCAAAUAUGCCUGUUACUCCAGGUGUUUCUUUUUCACUCAUAUUAUUCAAUUUUUAAUCAGUAAGGACCUACUGUAUAGCAUAGAGAAUGAUGCUCAAUAUUCUAUAAUAACCUAAAUGGUAAAGAAGAAGUGGUGCAUAAAUGCAAUGGAACAGUACUCAGCCAUUAAGAAGAAUGAAAUAAUGCCGUUUUCAAAAACAUGGAUGGACCCACAGAUUGUCACACUGAGUAAAAUGCUCCAUAAGGACAAAGACUUCACCUCUUUCAUUAAUCAUUGUAUCUCCAUCCCCAGAAGAUUGCCUGGCACACAGUGGAUUCCCAAUAAAGUAACAGUGAAUGAAU